GAUGAACGCUGGCGGCGUGCUUAACACAUGCAAGUCGAGCGAGAAACUUAACAUUGAACCUUCGGGUGAUAUGAUAAGUGGAAAGCGGCGGACGGGUGAGUAACGCGUGGGUAACCUGCCCUAUGCAGGGGGAUAACGCACUGAAAAGUGCGCUAAUACCGCAUAAGACCACAGGAUCACAUGAUCUAGAGGUAAAAACUCCGGUGGCAUAGGAUGGACCCGCGUCUGAUUAGCUAGUUGUGAGGUAACGGCUCACCAAGGCGACGAUCAGUAGCCGACCUGAGAGGGU
rnacentral:rRNA from 1 species